rnacentral:rRNA from 1 species
UACGGAGGGGGCUAGCGUUGUUCGGAAUUACUGGGCGUAAAGCGCACGUAGGCGGCUUUGUAAGUUAGAGGUGAAAGCCCGGGGCUCAACUCCGGAAUUGCCUUUAAGACUGCAUCGCUAGAAUUGUGGAGAGGUAAGUGGAAUUCCGAGUGUAGAGGUGAAAUUCGUAGAUAUUCGGAAGAACACCAGUGGCGAAGGCGACUUACUGGACACAUAUUGACGCUGAGGUGCGAAAGCGUGGGAGCAAACAGGG